CAGGUCCUCGGAUCGUCCAGGUCCUCGGAUCGUCCAGGUCCUCGGAUCGUCCAGGUCCUCGGAUCGUCCAGGUCCUCAGAUCGUCCCGGUCCUCGGACUGGACAGACUCACAGCUGUCUGUAUGAAGUGGACAGAAGACAAACCUGGACAUGAAGACUGAUCAGAGACAGGACAUAAAAAACUUUAGGAUAUUUUGUCCCUCGGGUUGUUGGUUCUGUGAGUUCCCUCUGGGUUGGAGAGUUCUGGGACCGGUUCUGGAUCCUCUGGGUUCAGGACCACAGGCUGAACUGUUUCCUGUAAAAAAAAAAAAARUUUUUUAAUCUGACGGAUCAGAAGUCCUGCAGCAGGACUUCUGAUCCGUCAGCGUUACAUCAUCUGCUGCACAAUCUGCUUUUAUUUUGAAGAGAAGUGAUUCUGUGCAGCAGACCUGGUUCUGGUUCUGUUUGUGUCGGUGUGUUUUGGACUCCUCCUGUCAGCUCCCUGGUUGUGGGUCAUUUUUAGUACUGUUAUUAUUUACACACAAAUGUUCACUGACUUUUUGUAAACACACACACCUGCUGGUGAAAGAGCCUCGUUGAUCCUUCAGAAGAGGAAAUGUAAAAAAACAGGAGCAGUUUUGAUCUUUUUUCAUGUCAAAGUGCUUCUCUGACCGUGAGCUCUAUUUAUUAAAACAUGUUGAAAAUCCUUUUAAAUGUUUUUAUUUUAUUUUUUUGAUGACGUCAUCACUUCCUGUCAGUUUGAUCAGGUUCUGAGGUGGUUUUCCACCCUGUCGUCCAGAGCAGAAAAACUGCUGCUUUUCUAAGAGAAUAAUGAAAAAACAACAAAUAUCA